rnacentral:rRNA from 1 species
UACGGGGGGGGCAAGCGUUGUUCGGAAUUACUGGGCGUAAAGCGCACGUAGGCGGUUUGUUAAGUCGGAUGUGAAAUCCCUCGGCUUAACCGGGGAACUGCGUCUGAUACUGGAUGGCUUGAGUUUGGGAGAGGGGUGCGGAAUUCCAGGUGUAGCGGUGAAAUGCGUAGAUAUCUGGAGGAACACCGGUGGCGAAGGCGGCAUCCUGGACCAACACUGACACUGAGGAGCGAAAGCCAGGGGAGCAAACGGG